rnacentral:rRNA from 1 species
AGCAGCCGCGGUAAUUCCAGCUCCAAUAGCGUAUAUUAAAGUUGUUGCAGUUAAAAAGCUCGUAGUUGAAUUUCGGGGUUCUACCGUUGGUCGGGCUUUGUCUGUACUGGCGUGUAGAAUUUCUACCUUCUGGGGAACCAUCAUGUUAUUAAUUUAGUGUGGUGGGAAACCAGGACCUUUACCUUGAAAAAAUUAGAGUGUUCAAAGCAGGCUUAUGUCUGAAUACAUUAGCAUGGAAUAAUAGAAUAGGACGGUGGUCCUGUUUUGUUGGUUUCUGAAUCACCGUAAUGAUUAAUAGGGAUAGUUGGGGGCAUUAGUAUUCAAUUGUCAGAGGUGAAAUUCUUGGAUUUAUUGAAGACUAACUUCUGCGAAAGCAUUUGCCAAGGAUGUUUUCAUUAAUCAAGAACGAAAGUUAGGGGAUCGAAGACGAUCAGAUACCGUCGUAGUCUUAACCAUAAACUAUGCCGACUAGGGAUCGGACGAUGUUAAUUUUUCUUGACUCGUUCGGCGCCUUACGGGA